UCCCUGGUGGUCCAAGGGCUAAGACUCUGCGCUCCCAACGCAGAAGGUCCGGUUCAAGCCCUGGCCAGGGAU
rnacentral:tRNA from 1 species